CGUAUGCCUAAAUAAAAAGGCUAACCAACUGACUGUCACGGGAAUUGGAAACACGGGAGCUCUCUCCAAGUGUGCAAGGAGAUACUUUCUAUUCUGAAUCCAAAUCAUGAGCUUUGCAACACAGGAAAUAAAGAUCCUGAUCCUCUAAGCUUGUCAAUGUUAAAAUCCUGAGACUGGCUGGAGUUUACCAGCAAUUAAGCCUGAGCCCACACCAUGUGAGCCUAAGCCUACAUCAUCUGAGCCCA